GAAGAAGGCCUUCGGGUUGUAUAGCUCUUUCAGCCGGAAAGAAACGGUCCCCGGCUAAUACCUGUGACUACUGACGGUACCGGAAGAAGAAGCACCGGCUAACUACGUGCCAGCAGCCGCGGUAAUACGUAGGGUGCGAGCGUUAAUCGGAAUUACUGGGCGUAAAGCGUGCGCAGGCGGUUUUGUAAGUCAGAAGUGAAAUCCCCGGGCUUAACCUGGGUACUGCGUUGUUAAUAGAAAGCUAGAAGGGC
rnacentral:rRNA from 1 species